CACCCCCAACCCAAUAACCCUCAAACUUGGCCAUCCAAAUGCUUCGAUCCUGUUCCUGACUCUCUCACUCUCAACUCUUACCGUCACUCUCAUCAAUGCCAACCCAGGAAGAGCUCAGAUCCCCGCCGUCACCGGCACCGCCCUCGCUGCGCCGUUAGCCUCCCCUCCGCCUCGUCUCCUCGUCGCCUCUGCCCUAGCAUCCAACAGCGUCAGCGUCAUUAGCCUCUUACCGUCUCCUCGUCGUUUACGCUAUUAGCCUCUUACCGUCUCCUCCUCGGCCAUCUGCUCGCCGGAGGGCAGCAACAUCUUCCCGACAGUGCGACUCCUUCUGCAGCUCUAGGGCGGCAUGGGAGGGUUCGGAUCGCUGCUUCGAGGGCGGCGAUGUAGGCCGAAAAAAAAAAGACGAACAAUUUUGACGCUUGCAGGGACAUGAGUGGGAGAAGGCUGAGGCACGUGAAUGCAGAGAGAAGCUGGAGGAGUGGAAGGCAGCGGAGGAGGAGCGGUGGCUGGAGAAGGUUGUGGAGGAGUUUCUGAAGAAGCAGAUGAAGAAAGGUAAGAAGGUUGCUGGCGAUGGAGAAGCUCACAAGUAUGUUGCCAAGUAUAGGGAAGAGUCUGAGCGCUGUGUCGCCGAGGUUGCAGAGUCUGUGAAGGAGGCUUUGAAGUCUCUCAAUGGUAAGAGAAAGGGUUCUGAAGCUGCACUGGAGAAAGCUGAUUCCAAGAAGUUGAAGAUAUGGUUGGAGCAAUGAGCAUCUCAGUAUUGCGAAGUGUGUGGCAAAUGUUCUGGCUAUGCGAGAACUGGGAUGGCGAAGUUAGUGUCUGCAAUCAACUUGCUAAUAGCCUUAUGCAAUUGGAAGACAGGUUUGAUGAUUUCAUUCAAAAGUUGAAAGAAGCUAGUUGCAACUUGCUCUUAGUGUGAUUGAAGCACCCACUGGCAAUGAGGAAGAUAAUGACCUUGAAUUUGAAAACUUGUCCUGGAAUGGAUCAGAUAUGGGUAAGUUUACAUUCCCAGCUACUGAACUGGUUACAUUUUGCUCAAUGCAGUUGGUUCACAUGAUUUAUUGUUACAUCAUCUAUAGUUUUAAGAAUCAUUCUCUCUUUUAUGAACUCAUUUUCCAAAGUAUUCUAAACUUUUCAGCUUCUAUGGGUUAAAGAAAACUUGCAAGAGUCUUGGUCUUUGGUUAAGAAUCACCUUCUUCCUCCUACUCCAUAUUAAUCAACCACACGAGAAUACUCCUUUUUCAGCAAUAUAAUCAUGAUUCAUGAGUGCAUAAAAAAUGAUCAUUUCUGUAAUUGUAGUAAGUUGUAGAUAAGCUCGAAUAACCUGCAAUAUUAAAGUAAUAAUUAAAGUGUGUUCAGCACUGUUGAAACAAUGUAAAAUCAUCUAGCUAGCCCAUAUAUCCGUACGGAUCAUUAGAUCUUAUCUUAUAUUUAGGUUGUUCUUAUCUUAAUUCCGCCUAAUUGAAAGGAAAAAAACAGUUGAGGAGAGAAAAAUUUAAAGUAUAAUCAUGUAUAAUUGAGUGGUUAGGUUCUGUUAUUGUCAAAAGAUUCUUUCCAUUUAUAUGUUAAAUUUUUUAAGACCAAUGAAAAUGUUGAGGCUUGACCUACACACAUGUUUUUGGUCUCUAAAUGCAAGUUCUAGGUUCUAUCUACUCCAGUUUUCAGACAUUGACAUGUCUGUCUACUUAUUGUAUUGGAUUAACAUACAUGUGAUAUCUGAAGUUUGACCCAGGCCAACUAUAUAUAUAAUAUAGUAGAAUAAGAAAGAAGAUCUAUUUGCCAGGCUGGAUUGUCUCCAUAGAAGUGGAAUUUCGUUAGAAUCACUCACUGAACCACUAUCUCUAAUUCUGUGACCAAUGCAAGUUUAACUGAUUGCUUGCUUGCUCCUCUUGACAUAUAUCAUUAAUUUUGAUAUCAGUCCUUUAAUUUAUCUUAUGCAUGGAUCUAAACUUUGUUCUCACUUUUAUCAUCUCUACAUGUAUAUAUUCAUUUCCUGUGAUGCAUGCAGAAGCAGCACUAUACUCACCAUACUCUCUUCUAAGGGUACCUAGCUUCAUGGGGUUAUUUUUUUAUCGUUUUUUCUUCAACCUGCGAUUAUCCCUGGUAGGAGCAAUAUGGUCAUGUUAUUGUAUAAAUUGGUAGGGAAAAAAAGGAAGCAUAUGAAUGGAUUUAUUACUAUAGUUGAACAUAUUUGGAUUUUUUUCUGUACCCAAUUCUUAUUCUAAUGCCGGUACCUUUAUCCAAUAUUUGUUUGGUGGAUAUAUAGACUUUCAUAAGAAUAAUUGAGUUGGUGAGAUAGGUUGAUUUUUAGCUAUAAUAGCUGAAUGGCAUCAAUAUCUUUAAACUUCAUAGAAUACUCUUGUAAUAAUCAAUUUUUGUGUAUUAUUAAAUAUUAAUUAGAAGCCAUGUGAUCUUGCACAGUUGCUAUAUCUAGACUAAUUACAAAAGCAUGGUGAGUUUCAUGGGUCAGAAAUGUAAAUCCUAAUGCCUAGUUGCCUACACAUUAGUUGAAUAGUAAUCAACUAAUCACUUAGUAAAGUGCUAUUUAAACUUUAAAGCUGACAGAGUUAAAGGGUUACCUUUAUGUGACAUGAUAUCUAACUUUCAUCACCUUGUUUUGGCAGAAUUCGUUUUUACUGUUUUAUUUUUGGCAGAAUUUGUGUGUAUAUUGAUUGUAUAGAGUUAGUGAAGUUUGUGUUUUUGCACAAUUUAGUGUAGUUAGUGUACUUAUUGCUUGUAAAUUGCAGUGGCAUUAUAACUUGUAGGCAUUAAUUAAAAUUGAAGGGAUGGGGGGCCAUAAAGGUUGAAGUUAAAAGGAAAAUAGAACUGGGUCCUAAUGCAUUUCCCCACCAGUUGUGCUAGACCUUAACUUGAGUUCUCAGCUUUUUUUAUUGAAAUCUUCACACAACAAACAAGCAUUCAAUAAUUGAGGAACCUGUUUCUAGCAUGGGAGUUUGUCUGAGUGCCCAAGUUAAAGUUGAGAGCCCCUACAGCACUGGUAAAAAAUUCACAAAUGUUUCCGAAACAACUAUGUAUGAUUUAAAGGAAGGAAGUUUAAGAGGGCUAGAGGAAGGAGGAACAGCAAAGGACUUAGGAUUUAAGUUAUAUUGUUUCUGUAUUUUUUUUCAGUUUUUAGUUUUGGAAUUUGAACUCGAGAUUUAUUUUGUAUUUGAGUAUUAAUUUUUUAAUAUAUAAAACAAUUAUAGCAAAAAUUUUGUAUGUCACUAAUUAUUAUUUGAUUUGUCUUGUAAUAAAAAUUGCAUACUA